GCCAGACUCCUACGGGAGGCAGCAGUGGGGGAUAUUGCACAAUGGGGGGAACCCUGAUGCAGCGACGCCGCGUGGGUGAAGGAGAGCUUCGGCAUGUAAAGCCCUAUCGGCAGGGAAGAAGCAAGACGGUACCUGACUAAGAAGCCCCGGCUAACUACGUGCCAGCAGCCGCGGUAAUACGUAGGGGGCGAGCGUUAUCCGGAUUCACUGGGUGUAAAGGGAGCGUAGACGGCCAUGCAAGCCAGGGGUGAAAGCCCGGGGCCCAACCCCGGGACUGCCCUUGGAACUGCAUGGCUGGAGUGCGGGAGGGGCAGGCGGAAUUCCUGGUGUAGCGGUGAAAUGCGUAGAUAUCAGGAGGAACACCGGCGGCGAAGGCGGCCUGCUGGACCGCGACUGACGUUGAGGCUCGAAAGCGUGGGGGGCGAACAGGAUUAGAUACCCCAGUAAUC
rnacentral:rRNA from 1 species